AGAGACUUAGGAUAAGAUCAUAGACCGAGGACCUUCAAAGCCCUAAGUAGAAGUUAAAGUCUUCUAGUCUCUG
rnacentral:tRNA from 1 species